rnacentral:rRNA from 1 species
GCUAUACAUGCAGUCGAGCGAUGGAUUAAGAGCUUGCUCUUAUGAAGUUAGCGGCGGACGGGUGAGUAACACGUGGGUAACCUGCCCAUAAGACUGGGAUAACUCCGGGAAACCGGGGCUAAUACCGGAUAACAUUUUGAACCGCAUGGUUCGAAAUUGAAAGGCGGCUUCGGCUGUCACUUAUGGAUGGACCCGCGUCGCAUUAGCUAGUUGGUGAGGUAACGGCUCACCAAGGCAACGAUGCGUAGCCGACCUGAGAGGGUGAUCGGCCACACUGGGACUGAGACACGGCCCAGACUCCUACGGGAGGCAGCAGUAGGGAAUCUUCCGCAAUGGACGAAAGUCUGACGGAGCAACGCCGCGUGAGUGAUGAAGGCUUUCGGGUCGUAAAACUCUGUUGUUAGGGAAGAACAAGUGCUAGUUGAAUAAGCUGGCACCUUGACGGUACCUAACCAGAAAGCCACGGCUAACUACGUGCCAGCAGCCGCGGUAAUACGUAGGUGGCAAGCGUUAUCCGGAAUUAUUGGGCGUAAAGCGCGCGCAGGUGGUUUCUUAAGUCUGAUGGUGAAAGCCCAGGGCUCACCCGUGGAAGGUCCAUGGGAAACUGGGAGACUUUGAG